GAGGGGCAGGUUGCCAUUUUUUGUGAGGGCAUUCAGGCCGAGGCCUGCGCGGGCGCCAUCUUUGUUAAGGGCGAAAGCUGGCCUUGGUCCGUUAAUUUAAGCGGGAGCUGGGAAUCCAGCUCCUCUUGGACACUCCGAGUUCAUAAACUGGUAUGUGCUUUGCUAGAAUAAUGACCCCGAACCUUCGAGUCUGCCUUUCCAAAAGGCUUCCGCUUUGAAUUGAAACUCAGAUAAUCGGGUGCCUCCUCGCUUUAGAAGAAUCCUACCUGUACAAUCCUAACUCAAGUAGCAAUUUGCACACUUAGUUUGAAACAAAUAAGCUCGUUCCUAUGAGCCAGUGGUCAGCGGCACUUACUCUCCGAUCUCUCGCCUAGUGAUUUGUUAUUACCUUUAGGGUUCAAAUGCACCUGAGGUCAGUAAACUGGGAAGCACAGAGAAAGGAAGUGACUUGCCUCAAGUCACGCACAGUAAAUCUGUGAACUGGAGCCAAAUCCACUGGCCCUGCCAGCUACAUCAGGACUCUCUGCAUAACCCUGGCUGCUUUUCUUCAAGCACAGAGCCAUCGUCAAACACCUGGAUGAUAUGGUGCAGAGCUUGGCCAGUAAACUCAACCUUCAUCUUCCCAUCUCAAAGUUGCUACAUUCCUCUGCAGGCCGUCUGGAGAGUCCUGGAUGAAAAUAACUUGAAAAGAUGGAUGAAAGCUCUUGAGAAAGGAAACAAUGAAGAGGACUUUACAAGUUCUGAGCAUCUCUUAUGUGCCACUUGUACCGGGCAUAUCACAUGCACCACCUCAUUUAACCCUCACAACAGCCCUCCGGAGUAGGUGCUACUAUUAUGCCCAUUUCACUUACAGAUGAGAAGACUGAGGCUGAAAGAGGUAAAAAUAACUUUCUCAAGAUCUCACAGCUGUCGACAAAACUGAGGCCCAGAGAGGAGUGGGAUGCGCCUGGCCACCCAGCAACUCAGCAGUGGAGCUGGGAGCUCAGCCCAGAUUUCAUUCCGAAGCCCAUGCUGUUAAUCACUAUGUCAUAGUGACUUUGGCUGAAUUACUGGUAUCCUGCCUUCAGGAAGCUGGUUAAAAUGCACAUAAGUAAUUAUAAAUCAAAGUAAAACAUCUUACAAUACUUCAUUGUAAGAAAAUAACAGUAGGAUUCCGGAGGGGCACAAAGAGAAGAGACUGAGUCAUUCUGAUUGAGCCAUUGGGGAAAGCUGUUUGACAAGCAAGGUCAAUGCCCUGCCAAAGCAGGACAGAAACCUGUACACACUGUAUGGGGACUAGUUUCACACUUUUUAAGGCCAGGAGAAAUAAAAUAGCUCUUGAUGCAACACCAUUUUCAGAGCCCAUGUCGCAUUCUUCACCCCUCGAUGCCCUCUCACAAUUCAGAGACAAGUUUGUUAUCCUUUAUGGAUAAGGAAAUUGAGGCUCGAGAGACGUGACCCAGUUCUCCCAGAGUCAUACAGCAAUCUAGUCACAGAGAAAAGAAUUUGGACUUCAAUCUUCUAAUCCUCAAAAGCUGACGCUCCUGAACUUUUUUUUUGAGACUUACCGAAGGCCUAGAUUAUCCCAAAUCAAGAUCUCCCUGCCUAAAUUGAUCGUCCUCAGUACCAUGGCCAGAUCCCACUUCAUCUAAACCCGGAAGCUGGAUAUGAGUCAAAGGCCACUGGGAAAGCUAUCCUAAGGCCCCAGGGAACACCUUUGGAGCACCCUUCCCAGCUGCAUAUCUGAAUAAUAAAACAGCAGUAGCUGUAGGCAAAGAAGGGUAAUAGAAUCAAUCAGUCGGCUGGACAUUUUGCAGACUAAAAGAAGCACUGAUGUCUUGAUGGUGACCUACAGGAGAUGGUGGCAAACUUGCCUCUCCCUUAAAUGCAGUGAAUUUUUAUUGAGAGAGCAGGUCAGGACCUAGGGGAGAAGGACCGCAAGCAAAUGGCCGCAGCCCCUGCUUACUCAGAGUGAUGAAUGCGAGGCUCUUUGCCUUUGCAUAUGCCUCCUGCCCUGUGUGGCAGGCCACCAGGACACCGCACAGGCUGUGGCUCGCAUGAGGACACUCAGCCAAAGGAUGGGUGGAGGCUGAAAUCCAGUCCAUGCUCUAGCUGAGUCCCUCCUAAAGAGGGGCAUAUUUUUCUAACUCACCUAAAGAACUCUGUGUUAGUGGAUCUUAUUGUCUAGAACACCUUUCUUUCCCCCUCUCUGCCUAGUUCCCAGAGUUCCCCUAACCAUGGUUUAAGAGGACCCUGUUUGAAUAGCUGCCCCACAUCUGGACUUCCAGGACACCCUGGGCUUGUCCCUUUUGUGGCACUUACACAGCUCUAUAACUUAACUUGGCGGUCUGCUCUAUUAGACUAUGAGCUUCUGGAGAGUAGGACUUUAUUUCAAAUCAAUUUUAUUAAGAUAUAAUGGACAUGCAAUAAAAUGCAUCCAUUUUAAGUGUACAUUCUGAUGAGCUUUGGCAAACUUAGACACCCACGUAACCACCACCACAGUCAAGAGAGAGCACAGUGCUCUCCAAAAGAACGUCCCAGGAUGAUGGGCAUCUUCUAAGCCUGCUCGGUGCAAUAGAGUGGCCACUAGCCACGUGUGACUGUUGAACCCUGGAAAUAUGAAUGAGGACCUGAAUUUUUUAAAAUUUUACUUAAAUAGGCACAUGAGGCUAGUGGUCUCUGUAUUAGGAUCUGUGUAAAACAUUUCCAUCACCCCAAAAAGUUCCGCUGUGAGCCAGUCCUAGUGAAUCUCCCUUCCAUCCCAGGAGACUACCGAUCUACUUUCUGUCAUUAAAGAGUGACCUUUUCUAGCGUUUCGUAUGCCUGGAAUCACACACUAUGAACACUUUUGUGUCUGGCUUCUUUCCAGAGCAGGGACCUUUAAUUCUGAAUCCUGGGAUCUAUUUUAGUGCCUAGCAGAUAGUAGGUGUUUAAUAAAUAUUGGUGAAAGAAUGAACUAAUAAAUGUUAAUCAGAAUUAAUGAUCUUAUCCCAAGCACUCUUUCUGCCCACCUAAUAGAAUACAAGAGUGAAAAGGCCCUCGGAGAGAACAUUUACCUAAAUUCCCUGGAUGUACCAAUGGAAAAACUGAGACCUCGAUAGGCUCACUGGCCUGCCCAGUUCACUCUGUAAAUUUAUAACAGCAUGGAUUACAACCGAAACAUGCAGACGUCGAGGCCUGUGUCUCCUCACUUCACAAUACAGUAGUCCUCCCUUAUCCUCAGGCAAAACGUUCCAAGACCCCCAGUGGAUGCCUGAAACUGCAGACAGUCCCGAAACCUACAUAUAGUUUGUUUUUCCUAUAUCUAUCUAUGCAAUUAGGCAUAGUAAGAGAUUAACAAUAACUAAUAAUAAAACAACAAUUAUAACAAAACACUGUAAUAAAAGUUAUGUGAAUGCAGUUUCUCUUUCUCUGUGUCUGAGACAGUUACUAAGUGACUAAGAAGCGGGUAGCAUAUACACUGUGGAUACGCUAGCUAAGGCGAUGAUUCACGUCCUGGGCCAAACGGGUUGGCACAGGAUUUCAUCACACAACUCAGAACAACGUGCAAUUGAAAACUUACAAUUUCUUUAUUUCUGGAAUAUUCCAUUUAACAUCUUCGCACCACUGUUGACCAUAGGUACUGAAACUGUGAAAAGUGAAACCACAGAUAAGGGGACAGUGCUGUACCCACUUCCCAUCCAUUUCCCUGGGCAAACAUGGCAACUCGUGAAUGCUGUGAGACCUCAGGAAAGCCUACAAGAUACCAUGCUACCUACUUGAGCCUCCUGGGGAUGCCAUCCUGGCCCCACACCACCUGCUGAAACAGCAGCAAUUCAACUUAGAAAAGUAUCUCAUUUCAUUCCAAAUAUACCUAAAACCUAAGAGUGGCCUUACUCCAGUACUCAACAGAAAACAAGCCACCUGGUACCCGAUCCAAUUCUCCAAUUCAUUACAGCAGAAUAGCAUUGCAUUUUUUUUGGUAAAGCUUUUAUUGAAGACCUCUUAAAGGUCAAGUGGAAGGGAAUUAUCAUUCAUUGUAGACAUACUAUGUGCUGAGGUGCUUCAUAUGUAAGGUUUCAUUUAACCUCAGUGCAGCCCUAAGAGGUCAGCAUCGUUAUACCUUUUACAGGUGAGGACAAUAGGACUGAGUCGUCUGUUAACUCGCUCAGGGUCCUAUGGUUGUGAGGCCCACGCUAGAAUCCAUAGCUCUCUGAUUUAAUGGUUUAGUGAUCUCUUUUAAUAUAGAAAGGGGAGGUACAGAUUCUAAGGAAAUGAAAUUAAUUCUUCGCCCAGGACCAAUACCUGUUGACAUGGCUCCCUUUUCAUUUUUACCAAAGGAAAUUCAAAAUGUCACUGUUGGCAAACUCUGAUCCUUGCUACAGAAUUUAAAGACCUCUCCAUUUCACAUGAUUCCUUUGGGGAUUAAUGUCCCAUUGGAGUCUAUACAAUUUGCUUAAUUACCCCAAAAUGAUUAUCUAAACUAAAACAGAAUUUUAAUAAACCACCAUUAAUAACUUUAUUCUUGUCUGGAAGAAUCUCAUCUCUUGGUAAAAAUAGCCUCUUAAAAUGAAGCCGGAUAAUCCUCUAGCCAUGGUGAUGAAAGAUAACAAUGGCUCAUUUAGAAAAUGUUUGGGGGAAAUUAAAAAGCUGAGCUAUAGCCUGUUGGCUCUGCAAGCUACUAAAAAUAAAAGCAGGAAGGGGAGGGCACCCAAAGCAUCCAUGUAGCAGGCCGAGUCUGCUUCCUACCCGGUCAGCACAUGCCACAGUGUUUGAGGACAUGCAGUCCAGUCUGUGGGCGAGAUCUCUCCACCCAGAAGGAAUGAGCUUCAUCAGCACCAUUCUGCCAGAGGAAAAGUUGUGCUGUUUGUUCUCGGGGUCACUCACAAACAUCCCUACUUAUAAGUGACUCGGUGCUGCCCAAAAUAACAGUCUAUCUGGUUUGGGGCUUAGACUUUCUCAAACUCAAAGCCUACAAACUGCAGUAUAGUUACAUGUUGUUACCACAUUUACCAGUGUAAAAACUGCAGUACAGCUGAUUCAAUCACUUAUUCAUUCACUGAUAUUUAUUGAGCUCUUUUUGGUACCAGGGCCUGUGCUUGGCCAUGGGAUUAAAAGAUGAAGACAGUCCUAGCUUUCGAAUCAAACCGAUAAAUUGAUAGUAGAGCAUCUCACCAUCUACUCCGUUGCUGUCAUUUUUAUCACGAAUGAACAUUGAAUUUUGUCAAAUGCUUUUUCUACAUAUACUGAGAUGAUCAUAUGAUUUUUCUUUUUCAGUCUGUUUGAAUUACAUUGAUUGAUAAUAGGUAAUAGCUCUGUUAUU